rnacentral:rRNA from 1 species
CCUACGGGUGGCAGCAGUGAGGAAUAUUGGUCAAUGGGCGUAAGCCUGAACCAGCCAAGUCGCGUGAGGGAUGAAGGUUCUAUGGAUCGUAAACCUCUUUUAUAAGGGAAUAAAGUGCGGGACGUGUCCCGCUUUGCAUGUACCUUAUGAAUAAGGAUCGGCUAACUCCGUGCCAGCAGCCGCGGUAAUACGGAGGAUCCGAGCGUUAUCCGGAUUUAUUGGGUUUAAAGGGUGCGUAGGCGGCCAUGUAAGUCAGCGGUGAAAGUCUGGGGCCCAACCCUGGAAUUGCCGUUGAAACUGGGAAACUGGAGUAUGUGAGGGGCAGGCGGAAUGCCUGGUGUAGCGGUGAAAUGCGUAGAUAUCAGGCGGAACCCCGGUUGCGAAGGCGGCCUGCC